rnacentral:miRNA from 1 species
GUCAAAAUUCCAGAUAUGAUGUCAUUAGGUGAAUUUUUGGCACAAAAAAAACAAAGGAAAACUAAUUCGCAAUUCACCUAAUGACAUCAUAUCCGGAAACUUUGAC